GUUAGAACGCCCAAUAGAGACCUGAUUUCACUUGAGAAAGUCAAAAUCCGAAACAACAAAUCUAUUCGUGUCUCAUUCCAAUCCAUGAUCUGUAACUUAUUCUUUGAAUUUCGGGACGAAAUUCCCUCUAACGGGGGGAUAAUGUAACAACCCGAAGUUGUUCAUCGCCGAAACCCCGUUCUACCCGUAUAACUCGUCGGAAAUCGAAAUGUCCCGAUAUCGUUUUUGGGUUUAGUUAGUAAAAUUUAUAUGUUUAUUUUAACUCAAUGAGUGUCCAAUCCAUUUAGGAACUCAAGAAAAUCAGCCCAAAAACAUUGUUACAUGAGUUUUAGAAAUGUUCCCGCCGGGUGACGGAAACUCAAUCGGGUGCGACCUAAAGCAUCGUUUAAGGCCGGUAUCGGGUAGAAUUCCUCCGUGUCCAAGUUUUAGGAACUAUAUAAGAAUGUUUAAUCUCUCAUUUGAAGCUUUUUCCUUCUCUCUCUACUCUCUCUCUAAUCUCUCUCCUAAAUCCAAAGAUUAAGUGUCCAAAACUCAAUUUUAAGGCUUCAAAUCCAUAAGGUACCUUCCUAGUCUUAAUCUAUAGCAUGCUUAGCUUCCAAAUUAGACAUUUAAUCAUGAAAUUGACCAUUUAUGUGAGUUUACGGCCCAGGAGGCUGCCUAGGCCGUAAACACCAAUUUGAAGGGUUUUAAGCCCUUAAACUCCUUCCUAAACUCAUUUGGACUUUAGAUAUGGCUAAGGGACUUCAAGAUAUGGACUUAGAACACUUAAAUCAUGGAUUUUGAGUCAUUUAAAGGAGUUUACGGCCAAGGCAUAAGCUUGGGCCGUAAACUCAUAUAAAUGGGGUUUUUAUUGCCCUUAAACCCUUCCAAAUCACCCCUAUGGCUUAGAUAUGAGUUAUAGGACCUUGGUAUUAGCAUUUGGACACUUGAAACUUGAUUUUUGGGGGAUUUAGAUGAGUUUACGGCCAAGGAUAGUGCUUGGGCCGUAAACUCCCCAAAACUUGGCUUAAAUCCAAUUCUAAGGUGUUAGAAAGCCAUCCAACACCACCAAAAGCCUUGGAAUAAAUCAAGGGACCAACCAAAAAUACUUUGAAGGCCUUAAACACAUCUUUUAUGGGGUUUCUAAGAGUUUACGGCCAAGACCUGUUCUUGGGCCGUAAACUCCAAAAUUNAUAGCCUUCCAAUAAAUGAAACUUAUUCCAAAUUCUAUUAUGCAUUUUCAAUUUUUUAUUAUAAAUGUGAGGGGUAAUUUAACUAUGUGUCUCAAGAUGUGUGUUGUGUAAUAGAAAUACAUAGUUGUUGCAUAACAAAAAACAUAACCUUUAGCGAUGACAAAAAGCAUCGCAAUUGAUGCCCCUGGACGUCGCUAAUACCUUUAGCGACGACAUGUUGUCGCUAUUACCUCGUAGCUAAUACUCUUUUGUCGUCGGAAAUAGUGUCGCCUCUGAUAUACGUUGUUGCUAAAUGGUUAAUCUCAUUGUUGUUGGUGUCGUCUCUAUUGGUAUCCCGGCACCGGUCAGAGUUUCUCCGGCUACACUUCCGGGAACCGGUUGUCAUCACAAUUGGAUCAUUGUCGUCCCUAAAUAUGUGGCUGCUAAUGGUUUUUUUUGGAAAAUAAUAAUUUAUUUAUGAUAUUGGUUUUUAUAUAUUAUAAAAUGCAUCUUUAAUAAAAAUACAUACCACAUUACAUAAAACAUCAAAUAUAUCAUAUUACAUAAACUAUCUAAUAUAUCCCAAAUACACAUCUAAUAUAUCAUCCAUAAACCAUCUAAUAAAUCAAAAAUAACACCAUCCACAAAGAGUCAAAACAAGAAAUACUAUGUGUAUGCGUCUUCGUCAUCGUUCUUUUCUUCAUUAUUGACGUGGCUUUUAAACAAGCAGAUAAUGUCUCCAAUGGUUGUCACAAACGCCGAGUUUUGAAGAAAAGCGUUCACAUCAACAUCCUACAAUUAAUUCACAAGCACAUUAAGUCAUUAACUAUUAAUUAUUUAACAAACGAUCAAACCAUCAAACCACCAAAUGAAUUAUGUCGGUAACAAUUUAAAAAACUACUAAGCCACCAAAUCAGUUAAGUCUUUAAGAAUUUAACAAACUACCAAACUAACUAACUACCAUAAAUUAUUAUAAAUGCAUAAUGCUCUUAACAAUAUAGCAAAGCUACCAAAUUCUUUAAGAAUUUAACAAGUAGUUGUGGUUCUUGCGGUGCUUGUGACUGUGACCGCCAUUAGGAUGAAGCACGUGUACCCGUUGCUGAAGAAGUUUUAGGCUCAAAGCCUCUCACAUGCCCCCUACGAGCACCCAACACCUUCUUAAAUAUUGCGAUCCAAUAAAUGGUGUCUGGAUCACCACCAGAGUCGGCUAUGUGAUGAGUUUGUAGAGCAACCUCAGCAACUAAAGCAUUAUAUAUUUCACGAGGCUUUGGCAUUGUUGUUUGUACUAAACACAAGAAAUAGCCUUCCAAUAAAUGAAACUUAUUCCAAAUUCUAUUAUGCAUUUUCAAUUUUUUAUUAUAAAUGUGAGGGGUAAUUUAACUAUGUGUCUCAAGAUGUGUGUUGUGUAAUAGAAAUACAUAGUUGUUGCAUAACAAAAAACAUAACCUUUAGCGAUGACAAAAAGCAUCGCAAUUGAUGCCCCUGGACGUCGCUAAUACCUUUAGCGACGACAUGUUGUCGCUAUUACCUCGUAGCUAAUACUCUUUUGUCGUCGGAAAUAGUGUCGCCUCUGAUAUACGUUGUUGCUAAAUGGUUAAUCUCAUUGUUGUUGGUGUCGUCUCUAUUGGUAUCCCGGCACCGGUCAGAGUUUCUCCGGCUACACUUCCGGGAACCGGUUGUCAUCACAAUUGGAUCAUUGUCGUCCCUAAAUAUGUGGCUGCUAAUGGUUUUUUUUGGAAAAUAAUAAUUUAUUUAUGAUAUUGGUUUUUAUAUAUUAUAAAAUGCAUCUUUAAUAAAAAUACAUACCACAUUACAUAAAACAUCAAAUAUAUCAUAUUACAUAAACUAUCUAAUAUAUCCCAAAUACACAUCUAAUAUAUCAUCCAUAAACCAUCUAAUAAAUCAAAAAUAACACCAUCCACAAAGAGUCAAAACAAGAAAUACUAUGUGUAUGCGUCUUCGUCAUCGUUCUUUUCUUCAUUAUUGACGUGGCUUUUAAACAAGCAGAUAAUGUCUCCAAUGGUUGUCACAAACGCCGAGUUUUGAAGAAAAGCGUUCACAUCAACAUCCUACAAUUAAUUCACAAGCACAUUAAGUCAUUAACUAUUAAUUAUUUAACAAACGAUCAAACCAUCAAACCACCAAAUGAAUUAUGUCGGUAACAAUUUAAAAAACUACUAAGCCACCAAAUCAGUUAAGUCUUUAAGAAUUUAACAAACUACCAAACUAACUAACUACCAUAAAUUAUUAUAAAUGCAUAAUGCUCUUAACAAUAUAGCAAAGCUACCAAAUUCUUUAAGAAUUUAACAAGUAGUUGUGGUUCUUGCGGUGCUUGUGACUGUGACCGCCAUUAGGAUGAAGCACGUGUACCCGUUGCUGAAGAAGUUUUAGGCUCAAAGCCUCUCACAUGCCCCCUACGAGCACCCAACACCUUCUUAAAUAUUGCGAUCCAAUAAAUGGUGUCUGGAUCACCACCAGAGUCGGCUAUGUGAUGAGUUUGUAGAGCAACCUCAGCAACUAAAGCAUUAUAUAUUUCACGAGGCUUUGGCAUUGUUGUUUGUACUAAACACAAGAAAUAGCCUUCCAAUAAAUGAAACUUAUUCCAAAUUCUAUUAUGCAUUUUCAAUUUUUUAUUAUAAAUGUGAGGGGUAAUUUAACUAUGUGUCUCAAGAUGUGUGUUGUGUAAUAGAAAUACAUAGUUGUUGCAUAACAAAAAACAUAACCUUUAGCGAUGACAAAAAGCAUCGCAAUUGAUGCCCCUGGACGUCGCUAAUACCUUUAGCGACGACAUGUUGUCGCUAUUACCUCGUAGCUAAUACUCUUUUGUCGUCGGAAAUAGUGUCGCCUCUGAUAUACGUUGUUGCUAAAUGGUUAAUCUCAUUGUUGUUGGUGUCGUCUCUAUUGGUAUCCCGGCACCGGUCAGAGUUUCUCCGGCUACACUUCCGGGAACCGGUUGUCAUCACAAUUGGAUCAUUGUCGUCCCUAAAUAUGUGGCUGCUAAUGGUUUUUUUUGGAAAAUAAUAAUUUAUUUAUGAUAUUGGUUUUUAUAUAUUAUAAAAUGCAUCUUUAAUAAAAAUACAUACCACAUUACAUAAAACAUCAAAUAUAUCAUAUUACAUAAACUAUCUAAUAUAUCCCAAAUACACAUCUAAUAUAUCAUCCAUAAACCAUCUAAUAAAUCAAAAAUAACACCAUCCACAAAGAGUCAAAACAAGAAAUACUAUGUGUAUGCGUCUUCGUCAUCGUUCUUUUCUUCAUUAUUGACGUGGCUUUUAAACAAGCAGAUAAUGUCUCCAAUGGUUGUCACAAACGCCGAGUUUUGAAGAAAAGCGUUCACAUCAACAUCCUACAAUUAAUUCACAAGCACAUUAAGUCAUUAACUAUUAAUUAUUUAACAAACGAUCAAACCAUCAAACCACCAAAUGAAUUAUGUCGGUAACAAUUUAAAAAACUACUAAGCCACCAAAUCAGUUAAGUCUUUAAGAAUUUAACAAACUACCAAACUAACUAACUACCAUAAAUUAUUAUAAAUGCAUAAUGCUCUUAACAAUAUAGCAAAGCUACCAAAUUCUUUAAGAAUUUAACAAGUAGUUGUGGUUCUUGCGGUGCUUGUGACUGUGACCGCCAUUAGGAUGAAGCACGUGUACCCGUUGCUGAAGAAGUUUUAGGCUCAAAGCCUCUCACAUGCCCCCUACGAGUACCCAACACCUUCUUAAAUAUUGCGAUCCAAUAAAUGGUGUCUGGAUCACCACCGGAGUCGGCUAUGUGAUGAGUUUGUAGAGCAACCUCAGCAACUAAGGCAUUCUAUAUUUCACAAGGCUUUGGCAUUGUUGUUUGUACUGAACACAAGAAACAGCCUUCCAAUAAAUGAAACUUAUUCCAAAUUCUAUUAUGCAUUUUCAAUUUUUUAUUAUAAAUGUGAGGGGUAAUUUAACUAUGUGUCUCAAGAUAUGUGUUGUUUAAUAGAAAGACAUAGUUGUUGCAUAACAAAAAACGUAACCUUUAGCGACGACAAAAAGCAUCGCAAUUGAUGCCCCUGGACGUCGCUAAUACCUUUAGCGACGACAUGUUGUCGCUAUUACCUCGUAGCUAAUACUCUUUUUUCGUCGCAAAUAGUGUCGCCUCUGAUAUACGUUGUUGCUAAAUGGUUAAUCUCGUUGUUGUUGGUGUCGUCUCUAUUGGUAUUCCGGCCACCGGUUAGUGUUUCUCCUGCUACACUUCCCGGAACCGGUUGUCAUCAGAAUUGGAUCAUUGUCGUCCCUAAAUAUGUGGCUGCUAAU
rnacentral:lncRNA from 1 species